rnacentral:rRNA from 1 species
GCUUAGCCUUAAACUUAGAUGUUUAAAACACAAGAAACAUCCGCCAGGGUACUACGAGCGCUAGCUUAAAACCCGAAGGACUUGACGGUGUCUCAGACCCACCUAGAGGAGCCUGUUCUAGAACCGAUAAUCCUCGUUAAACCUCACCACCUCUUGUUCCCCCAGCCUAUAUACCGCCGUCGCAAGCUUACCCUUUGAAGGAUUAACAGUAAGCGCAAUGAGCUUAAACCCUCAAAACGUCAGGUCGAGGUGUAGCUUACGAGGUGGAAAGAAAUGGGCUACAUUUUCUAUUUUAGAAUAUACGAACGGCGCCAUGAAACUGGCCCCUGAAGGUGGAUUUAGUAGUAAAAAUCAAACAGAGAGUCAUUUUGAAGAAGGCUCUGAGACGCGC